rnacentral:rRNA from 1 species
UGGGGAAUAUUGCACAAUGGAGGGAACUCUGAUGCAGCGACGCCGCGUGAGUGAUGAAGGAAUUCGUUUCGUAAAACUCUGUUCUAUGGGAAGAAAAGGACUGUACCAUAGGAGAAAGCUCCGGCUAAAUACGUGCCAGCAGCCGCGGUAAUACGUAUGGAGCGAGCGUUGUCCGGAAUUAUUGGGCGUAAAGGGUGCGCAGGCGGCUUUACAAGUUGGAUGUGAAAUAUUGUGGCUCAACCACAAACGUGCAUCCAAAACUGCAAAGCUUGAGUUAAGGAGAGGGAAGGGGAAUUCCUGGUGUAGCGGUGGGAUGCGUAGAUAUCAGGAGGAAUACCGGGGGCGAAGGCGACUUACUGGACGUAAACUGACGCUCAGGCACGAAAGCGUGGGGAGCAAACAGG